AGGACGAACGCUGGCGGCGUGCUUAACACAUGCAAGUCGAACGAGGUCCAACCUCUCGCAAGAGAGGGGAAGACCUAGUGGCGAACGGGUGCGUAACACGUGAGGAACCUGCCCCGAAGACCGGGACAACACCGGGAAACCGGUGCUAAUACCGGAUAUCCCCAUCGAAUCGCAUGGUUUGAUGAGGAAAUGGAUUCCGCUUUGGGAGGGCCUCGCGGCCUAUCAGCUUGUUGGUGAGGUAACGGCUCACCAAGGCUUCGACGGGUAGCUGGUCUGAGAGGACGACCAGCCACACUGGGACUGAGACACGGCCCAGACUCCUACGGGAGGCAGCAGUGGGGAAUCUUGCGCAAUGGGCGAAAGCCUGACGCAGCAACGCCGCGUGCGGGAUGACGGCCUUCGGGUUGUAAACCGCUUUCAGUAGGACGAAUUGACGGUACCUGCAGAGAAGCCCGGCCAACUACGUGCCAGCAGCCGC
rnacentral:rRNA from 1 species